rnacentral:piRNA from 1 species
CUUUAUCUCAGGUCCUGCAAAUUUCU